GGAAGGCCAGGCAGGGGCCUGCUCAGGGUGACCUGUGACCACUUCACUCUCCCCCAGGAAGAACACUCACUCCCGGCCAUACUUGCGUGUGAGUUCUGACCCCUGGAGGAGCCACUGUGGAAUCAGAGCAAUCGCCAUGGAGUUUGUGAUGAAGCAGGCCCUAGGAGCCACGUGUGUCUUUUCGUGCAGUCAUGCAUCAUGUAACGAAAGGGACAAGUUCUGAGGACUGUGUCAUUAGGUGACUUUGUCGCUGUGCGAACAUCAAAGAGUGCACUGUUGCACACCCAGAUGGAGCAACCCUGCACGCCCAGGCUGUUGGGGGUAGCCUGGUGCUCCCGGGCACAACCCUGCACAGCACGUGACUGCCUGAAUGGCACGGAAGUUGUAACACAGUGGUGAGUAUUUGCGUACCUAAGCA
rnacentral:lncRNA from 1 species